GACACGGUCCAGACACCUACGGGUGGCAGCAGUCGAGAAUCAUUCACAAUGGGGGAAACCCUGAUGGUGUGACGCCGCGUGGGGGAAUGAAGGUCUUCGGAUUGUAAACCCCUGUCAUGUGGGAGCAAAUUAAAAAGAUAGUACCACAAGAGGAAGAGACGGCUAACUCUGUGCCAGCAGCCGCGGUAAUACAGAGGUCUCAAGCGUUGUUCGGAAUCACUGGGCGUAAAGCGUGCGUAGGCUGUUUCGUAAGUCGUGUGUGAAAGGCGCGGGCUCAACCCGCGGACGGCACAUGAUACUGCGAGACUAGAGUAAUGGAGGGGGAACCGGAAUUCUCGGUGUAGCAGUGAAAUGCGUAGAUAUCGAGAGGAACACUCGUGGCGAAGGCGGGUUCCUGGACAUUAACUGACGCUGAGGCACGAAGGCCAGGGGAGCGAAAGGGAUUAGAUACCCCUGUAGUCCUGGCAGUAAACGGUGCACGCUUGGUGUGCGGGGAAUCGACCCCCUGCGUGCCGGAGCUAACGCGUUAAGCGUGCCGCCUGGGGAGUACGGUCGCAAGAUUAAAACUCAAAGAAAUUGACGGGGACCCGCACAAGCGGUGGAGUAUGUGGCUUAAUUCGAUGCAACGCGAAGAACCUUACCUGGGCUUGACAUGUAAUGAACAACAUGUGAAAGCAUGCGACUCUUCGGAGGCGUUACACAGGUGCUGCAUGGCCGUCGUCAGCUCGUGUCGUGAGAUGUUUGGUUAAGUCCAGCAACGAGCGCAACCCCUGUUGCCAGUUACCAGCACGUGAAGGUGGGGACUCUGGCGAGACUGCCCAGAUCAACUGGGAGGAAGGUGGGGACGACGUCAGGUCAGUAUGGCCCUUAUGCCCAGGGCUGCACACGUACUACAAUGCCCAGUACAGAGGGGGCCGAAGCCGCGAGGCGGAGGAAAUCCUGAAAACUGGGCCCAGUUCGGACUGUAGGCUGCAACCCGCCUACACGAAGCCGGAAUCGCUAGUAAUGGCGCAUCAGCUACGGCGCCGUGAAUACGUUCCCGGGUCUUGUACACACCGCCCGUCACAUCAUGGAAGCCGGUCGCACCCGAAGUAUCUGAAGCCAACCGCAAGGAGGCAGGGUCCUAAGGUGAGACUGGUAACUGGGAUGAAGUCGUAACAAGGUAGCCGUAGGGGAACCUGCGGCUG
rnacentral:rRNA from 1 species